GACGAACGCUGGCGGCGUGCCUAAUACAUGCAAGUAGAACGCUGAAGGAGGAGCUUGCUUCUCUGGAUGAGUUGCGAACGGGUGAGUAACGCGUAGGUAACCUGCCUGGUAGCGGGGGAUAACUAUUGGAAACGAUAGCUAAUACCGCAUAAUAGUAGAUGUUGCAUGACAUUUGCUUAAAAGGUGCAAUUGCAUCACUACCAGAUGGACCUGCGUUGUAUUAGCUAGUUGGUGGGGUAACGGCUCACCAAGGCGACGAUACAUAGCCGACCUGAGAGGGUGAUCGGCCACACUGGGACUGAGACACGGCCCAGACUCAUACGGGAGGCAGCAGUAGGGAAUCUUCGGCAAUGGACGGAAGUCUGACCGAGCAACGCCGCGGGAGUGAAGAAGGUUUUCGGAUCGUAAAGCUCGGUUGUAAGAGAAGAACGAGUGUGAGAGUGGAAAGUUCACACUGUGACGGUAUCUUACCAGAAAGGGACGGCUAACUACGUG
rnacentral:rRNA from 1 species